AGUCCCUCAUAACACAUGCAGCUUCACCAUGGUGGACCUGCAUGUCUGCGCUGUCCUUCAGCAAGAACAGUGCUUUCUCCAAUGCCCGCCAAGGCAUCGGUGCAUGGCAUCACUAAUGAGAAGCUUGACAUUUUCUUGGAGGUACCAAGUGCAGCAUUAGGAAGACAGAAGAAGAGCCUGUGGUCCUUCGCUGAGUAAGAGAAGCAAAUUGAGGUAUUGGAGUCCUCAGGAGAUGCUGUUUUGCUGCCCUCUAGGCAAAGAUUAAAGCUUAAAAUGUGGAAGUUAAAGAAAACGCUGUCCUGGGCACACCAAUGCAAAGCAAGAGGUUGAGAAGGUAGGAAUAAUUCUUGUGGGACUUCAUUAAGGUGUGAAUAUAAGAUCUCUAAGAGAUCUCCGGGCUCAGAUAAGCGGGAUCCAGUGGUGUACAACAAAGAAUUAUCAGGAAAGGCAUCAUAAUUACAAAGUACUUUUAUAUUAAAAUGAUGUCAUGUAAUAGGUUGAAGAACAAAAAAUAUAUAAGCCGUGCAGAUCUUCUUUAUCUAAAUAAUUGUUUUCUUAUGCAUUAUGCAGCAAACUUCUCAUAUAAUUCCUG
rnacentral:lncRNA from 1 species